rnacentral:rRNA from 1 species
UACGUAGGGUGCAAGCGUUGUCCGGAAUUAUUGGGCGUAAAGAGCUCGUAGGCGGUUUGUCGCGUCUGCUGUGAAAACUCGGGGCUUAACCCCGGGCCUGCAGUGGGUACGGGCAGACUAGAGUGCGGUAGGGGAGACUGGAAUUCCGGGUGUAGCGGUGGAAUGCGUAGAGAUCCGGAAGAACACCGGUGGCGAAGGCGGCCUGCUGGGCUGUGGCUGACGCUGAGGCGCGACAGCGUGGGGAGCAAACAGG